GACGAACGCUGGCGGCGUGCCUAAUACAUGCAAGUAGAACGCUGAAGGAGGAGCUUGCUUCUCCGGAUGAGUUGCGAACGGGUGAGUAACGCGUAGGUAACCUGCCUGGUAGCGGGGGAUAACUAUUGGAAACGAUAGCUAAUACCGCAUAACAGUAGAUGUUGCAUGACAUUUGCUUAAAAGGUGCAAUUGCAUCACUACCAGAUGGACCUGCGUUGUAUUAGCUAGUUGGUGAGGUAACGGCUCACCAAGGCGACGAUACAUAGCCGACCUGAGAGGGUGAUCGGCCACACUGGGACUGAGACACGGCCCAGACUCCUACGGGAGGCAGCAGUAGGGAAUCUUCGGCAAUGGACGGAAGUCUGAACGCGCAACGCCGCGGGAGUGAAGAAGGUUCUCGGAUCGGAAAGCUCUGUUGUAAGAGAAGAACGAGUGUGAGAGUGGAAAGUUCACACUGUGACGGUAGCUUACCAGAAAGAGACGGCUAACUACGUG
rnacentral:rRNA from 1 species